CUGCAGGUGGACAAAGUUAUCAUCAAUCCGUACUUUGGGCUGGGAGCACCCGACUACUCCAAGAUCCAGAUCCCAACAAGGGAGACGUGGCAGCACAGCGCCAACUGCACAGCUGAGGACAAGGAGCGUCAAUGGGUGGACGACUUCCCUCUCCACCGCAGCGCCUGCGAGGGAGACACGGAGCUGCUCACCAAGCUCCUGGACAGCGGUUUUUCGGUCAAGCAGCUGGACAGCGACCACUGGGCCCCCAUCCACUACGCCUGCUGGCAUGGCAAAGUUGAGGCGACCAAGCUGCUGUUGGAAAAAGGGAAAUGUAAUCCCAACCUGCUGAACGGACAGCUUAGCUCACCGCUGCACUUUGCCGCACGAGGCGGCUACAGUGACAUCGUGCAACUCCUGCUGCAGCAUCCCGAGAUUGACCGGCACAUUGAAGACCAGCAGAAGCGGUCACCGCUGCAAGUGUGCGAGGAGAA